UACGUAGGGAGCAAGCGUUGUCCGGAAUCAUUGGGCGUAAAGCGCGCAUAGGUGGCCAUUUAAGUCCGCUGUGAAAGUCAAAGGCUCAACCUUUGAAAGCCGGUGGAUACUGGGUGGCUAGAGUACGGAAGAGGCGAGUGGAAUUCCUGGUGUAGCGGUGGAAUGCGCAGAUAUCAGGAGGAACACCAAUAGCGAAGGCAGCUCGCUGGGACGUUACUGACACUGAGGCGCGAAAGCGUGGGGAGCGAACAGG
rnacentral:rRNA from 1 species